rnacentral:lncRNA from 1 species
CACAUUAGAGAUGGAAGUUGGAGGGUGGACAGUGAUAGGACAAGGGGGAAUGGUUUGAAACUGAGACAGAGGAGGUUUAGGUUGGAUAUGAGGAGGAAGUUUUUCCCCCAGAGGGUGGUGACGCACUGAACAGGUUGCCCAAGGAGGCUGUGGAUGCCCCAUCCCUGCAGGCAUUCGAGGCCAGGCUGGAUGUGGCUCUGGGCAGCCUGGGCUGCUGGUUUGAAAAAAACACCCCAACCCCUCAGAAAACACCACCACUGCUGCCAUGGUUUCCUCUCACCUCAUCUGCCAAGUCUCACACCCAAUGUUAAAAUACCAAACACAAAACGCUUGCAGAUGAAAUUGAUUUUG